rnacentral:rRNA from 1 species
CCACGGGUGGCAGCAGUGGGGAAUAUUGGACAAUGGGCGAAAGCCUGAUCCAGCCAUGCCGCGUGUGUGAAGAAGGCCUUCGGGUUGUAAAGCACUUUCAGUGGGGAAGAAAGCCUUGGGGCUAAUACCCUCGAGGAAGGACAUCACCCACAGAAGAAGCACCGGCUAACUCCGUGCCAGCAGCCGCGGUAAUACGGAGGGUGCGAGCGUUAAUCGGAAUUACUGGGCGUAAAGCGCGCGUAGGCGGUCUGAUAAGCCGGUUGUGAAAGCCCCGGGCUCAACCUGGGAACGGCAUCCGGAACUGUCAGGCUAGAGGGCAGGAGAGGAAGGUAGAAUUCCCGGUGUAGCGGUGAAAUGCGUAGAGAUCGGGAGGAAUACCAGUGGCGAAGGCGGCCUUCUGGACUGACACUGACGCUGAGGUGCGAAAGCGUGGGUAGCAAACAGGAUUAGAUACCCUUGUAGUC